ensembl:lncRNA
CUGAUAUUCAGAGACAUGGAGAGAGCUAUAGUUUUUUUAUUAAAGGCUAAAAGACCUACAGGUGAUACAGAAAGAAAUCUGCUCACAGCUGACAGCAGCCUAUGCCCCGGAGACCCCUGAGACAUCCCAUCAGUUCCAGGUCGGAAGCAGCUACACUGAGCCCAGACACUCGAUCCUCGCUGGAAAGGACCAUACCUGGUGCUGCUGACCACCCUGACAGCCGUCAAUUCUCAGCCCUCACCAGCCGUGUACUAGCUGUUAGGGCUGAGAGCUGGGACCUAGAGAGAAAUUCAGUCAUGUUUGUCCUGGGUUCCAUCGAGAUAGCCAUUGUGUCCUACAGAGAGCAUUCCAGGAAACCGGACAGCCCAAGCCUAACCAGAGGUGUUUCAAAUACAAAUGCUCCAUCAGUUUUGACAAACGUUUAAAAAUAAUGAGGACCUGAAGACCCUACCCUUCUCCUGAUUUAGUAGCUCUGUUCCAGGAACCAGGGGGC